CGCCGCGUCCCCCGCUCCACUCACCGUGGCCGAAGCGACGGCGCCGUCCGCCAGGGUCAAGUGGUGCGGCUCCCACCGCCGCAGGAACUUGGAGGUCUCAUGAAAGCAGCAGUGCUUGAAGAAGGCUAACAAAGGCGACUGCAGGGGAGGAUGAAGACCUUCAAGCAAUUGUCCAAGCUUUUACAGGUGAGCAGAAGCCUCUGCCCUCAGACGCUGCCCCUGGAACGGCCAUCAGGACUUGCUGUCACCAGCACUCACUGCCCUCACAGAGCCCGAGAGGGAGCACUGCCACCUCUCACUUUAGUUCCUUCACCUUUCCUCAUUCAUCUAUUUCCUGUGGGUUUUCCUCUUUGAUUAAAUUUCUGGUAUGUAGCAGCUCCAUAAUAAAACAGCUAACUCAUGGGAGAUGGAGGAUAUUUAUCAAAUCUACUGCAUUUCUUUCAUUCCUUGUAAGACCUUGAGAGACAAUCCUGAACCACGUUUUUCCUUUCUUUUAAAAACAGAAAGAAAAAAAAAAAAAAUCAUAUGAGCAGUUGACAAGUUUUCAAACCAUCAAUGUUUUAUUUGGUUAGUUUAUUAAACACCUUUAAGACAAUUAAUUUUGGUCUGUACCCUUCUAGAAAAUAAUUCAAGUUCUGAACAAACCUCCAAUACAUAAAGCAAAGUUACUUUACCAUACGCAAAUUUCAGAUCAAAAUACAGCACUCUGUUUUCUUACAUUUAUAAAACCCGGUCAAAUACAAACGACAUUAAAAAAGAUAAAACACUUCCACUGAUCCUUGGUACAAUAUUACAGCACAAUUUGCACAGUGGCCACUAAGUCUCCAAAGCACAAUUCAAACACUUGAAGAAGGGAACCUCCCUUUAGUCACCCAACAUUAUACCCAACACGUAAACAAAGCGAGUGCUACUUCAUCCAGGGAAAUUCUCACCUCCCUUUUUGUGUGUUUGAGCCACAAAGCCGUUCUGCAAGUCGUGUUACGGGUGUGUAAGCAAACAGCUUUCUGCUUCUGUUACAGCUUUACUGCGACCACUCCAUGAAAACAAACGGGUGGAGGUGGGCCAGACUCUGCACUGGGCAAUUUAUGGCAACUAAAGUAAACCAAUAAGCAUGUUUAUUGCGUUUGCUUUUUGUAAGAACAAAUCAUAAGUCUCUUAAAAACCAAAAUCAAUACCGAAUGAUCUGUGGGUACAACUUGAGGAACUGCCUUUUUUUCAUCUUCAUGACAUCUAACAGACACAGAGUGUUUUCAAUUGCUGUCUGUUCCAUUUCAAGACCCAGCGUUUCAGCAACAGGUCAAAGUGCCAUCAAAAUUGCACAUUUUUUUUCCAAUUAUGAAAACAUACAGUAGCAUGCAGUGUUUGUUUGCCCAGAAGCUUGCACUUAUGCUCGCCUAUGAGCAACGUGGCACCUCUCAUUAAACUGCACUGAGCAAAAAUCAAAAGGCAUACUGAGAAUGAUGGAAUGGAGGCGUCAGCUGACAACCAUCCCCAGGAAGUUCCGACUUAGCAAACCUUACAAUCACACCUCGAGAACAGAAAGUAAAAUCAGAGCACUAACGGGAGGGUCUGACAUACCCAGCUCAGGCCAGAGCUGCACAGGCAGCGAGGCCACUGCAACGCGCCGCAGCACAACUCAGCAGGUAUUUCUGCCCCUCGCUUGUCCCCUACCCUCCCCCCCCAAUGCACAAACAUUACUUGCAAUCCCAUCAUAAGUUUCAUUAUUUCAGCUUCAGUGAAAAUGUGCACGUGUCCAAAUGGAAACCACAGACCGACAGACCUGUUUUGGCCUUCUCCCUCCCCCAAGCUCACAUCAGAUCCAUUAGGAUACCACACGCAUUCAGAACUUGUUCCUAUCUGGUAACAUCAGUUUUAUCCCAACAAAAUGAAGGAGAAUUGCAUACUGCAUAAAAUAGCACAUAUGUAAUGAUGCUUAUGUAAACACUAUAGGAUGGAAAAAUAAUAUUAAAAAAGCAUGAGUGAGGUACAGCAAGAACUCGAUUUGCUAACUUAGCCUUUUAAGUGCAAUUGAAACACUGCAUACUGCCCUUCUCACAAAAGUCUCUCCACAAUUAAGCUACAUUACUGGGAUUAUUCCCUUACAGCUACAUACUCAUGCUGUAACUCCUUACAUUGACUUAAUGCAAAUAGUUACGGGGGAAAAAUUAAUUCACAGGGUUAAUUAAAGUUUUUGCAGUAUUUAAAAGGAAUGGUUGCGAAGGGAUCAACCAUGGAAAAUGUGGUAAUGCACAUUUUAAAAACAUUUCCAAUAAUUUUAACACAGAACAGCAAAUAGAUUUUGAAAAAUGCAUAGAAACCCUGUCAAUAUAAAAAUCCCCACUAAAAUUACACAACUAAACAAUUUUAAUCUAAAUAUUUUAUGUGCUUUUCCUAUAAAGGCCACUUU